rnacentral:rRNA from 1 species
GACGACGCUGGCGGCGUGCCUAACACAUGCAAGUCGAACGGAGUUAAGGACUUCGGUUUAACUUAGUGGCGAACGGGUGAGUAACGCGUGAGGAACCUGCCUUUCAGUGGGGGACAACAGUUGGAAACGACUGCUAAUACCGCAUAACAUGUACGGAUCGCAUGGUCUGUACAUCAAAGCUUUAUGUGCUGAAAGAUGGCCUCGCGUCCGAUUAGCUAGUUGGUGAGGUAACGGCCCACCAAGGCAACGAUCGGUAGCCGACCUGAGAGGGUGAUCGGCCACAUUGGAACUGAGACACGGUCCAAACUCCUACGGGAGGCAGCAGUGGGGAAUAUUGGGCAAUGGGCGAAAGCCUGACCCAGCAACGCCGCGUGAAGGAAGAAGGUUUUCGGGUUGUAAACUUCUGUCCUAUGGGAAGAAGACAGUGACGGUACCAUAGGAGGAAGCCACGGCUAACUACGUG